rnacentral:rRNA from 1 species
UCCCAGCACCCCGAGUGGUCGGGACGAUUAUUGGGCCUAAAGCAUCCGUAGCCGGUUUUACAAGUCCUCCGUUAAAUCCAGCUGCUUAACAGAUGGGCUGCGGAGGAUACUAUAAGACUAGGAGGCAGGAGAGGCAAGCGGUACUCAGUGGGUAGGGGUAAAAUCCGUUGAUCCAUUGAAGACCACCAGUGGCGAAGGCGGCUUGCCAGAAUGCGCUCGACGGUGAGGGAUGAAAGCUGGGGGAGCAAACCGG